AUUGAACGCUGGCGGCAGGCCUAACACAUGCAAGUCGAGCGAGCGGCGGACGGGUGAGUAAUGUAUGGGGAACUGCCUGAUAGAGGGGGAUAACUACUGGAACCGGUGGCUAAUACCGCAUACUAUGGGAUGAACCCAUACGGGAUUAGACAGUAGGUGGGGUAAAGGCUCACCUAGGCGACGAUCACUAGCUGGUCUGAGAUGGUGAUCAGCCACACUGGGACUGAGACACGGCCCAGACUCCUACGGGAGGCAGCAGUGGGGAAUAUUGCACAAUGGGCGCAAGCCUGAUGCAGCCAUGCCGCGUGUAUGAAGAAGGCCUUAGGAUUGUAAAGUACUUUCAGCGGGGAGGCGUUACCCGCAGAAGAAGCACCGGCUAACUCCGUGCCAGCAGCCGCGGUAAUUC
rnacentral:rRNA from 1 species